rnacentral:rRNA from 1 species
GAUGAACGCUGGCGGCGUGCCUAAUACAUGCAAGUCGAGCGAACAGACGAGGAGCUUGCUCCUCUGACGUUAGCGGCGGACGGGUGAGUAACACGUGGAUAACCUACCUAUAAGACUGGGAUAACUUCGGGAAACCGGAGCUAAUACCGGAUAAUAUAUUGAACCGCAUGGUUCAAUAGAGAAAGACGGUUUUGCUGUCACUUAUAGAUGGAUCCGCGCCGCAUUAGCUAGUUGGUAAGGUAACGGCUUACCAAGGCAACGAUGCGUAGCUGACCUGAGAGGGUGAUCGGCCACACUGGAACUGAGACACGGUCCAGACUCCUACGGGAGGCAGCAGUAGGGAAUCUUCCGCAAUGGGCGAAAGCCUGACGGAGCAACGCCGCGUGAGUGAUGAAGGUCUUCGGAUCGUAAAACUCUGUUAUUAGGGAAGAACAAAUGUGUAAGUAACUAUGCACGUCUUGACGGUACCUAAUCAGAAAGCCACGGCUAACUACGUG